CCAUCUCCCACUUUUAAUUUUCUUUAAUCUCCAAUAUUACUGCCUCAAUCCAAAGCUUUGAAACUGUUGCUUUUCCCUCAUCACAUCACAGCACUCUAUAUAUACCUUCUUCAUGCUUAUACGUUCCUUCAAUCAACAUUGUCUCUCCUUUACAAAUUCGAUUAUAUAUGUUUUUUUUGUCAACUUUCUGUGAUAUUUAAAGUUUUGAUUUAGAGUUUUGGUAGUCCGUGUGAAUGUAUUAAUUUCAUAUAUUUUUGUAUGAUUCGUUAGGCAAAACAAGGCUGCAAGUGCUGGGUGAAAUUGUACCAGGAAGUGAAGGAGCUGAGGGAAAUCACUGAUGAUGAUCGGUAGCUAUACUGGUUUAGGAAGAAGCUGUCAAAACAGAACAAGCACGCCAAGGAGCUUGAGGAAUCUCUGGGACUUUUGAGCGAGAAGCUGUGUAAAACUGCAGAAGGUUACCGUGUUGUGUGUGAAAGAGAGGGAAGAUGCAGCAUGCGCAGAACAAAUAAGAGGGCUUAGGAGUUCUCUAGCUUCAUAGAGUUUCAAGAGAAAGAGAUGAAAACGUUUAUGGAGAAGAGGGAGGGGGAGAGGUAGAAGAAGAUAUAAUUCGAGGAGAUGCUUGAGCUAGAGAGGGAAUUUGAUGUCAUUGGAGCUGUUCAUGAACAAGAACGACCUUCACGAUGCAGAUGACGCACACUUGCUUUCAUGUUGUGCUUUUGGUAUUGAAUCUAAGGAGAUUCGAGGAAGACUAUCAUUCUCAAUUUUAGAGUAGCAAAUUCGGUAUAGAAAGCUGGUUAACCAAAGGAAGAAGAUGACCCGCAACUGCCAUUGCUGAAACCUCUGCUAAAAUUGGUUUGCGUCUUACGGAUUAUGUUGUUGGUUCUGGAUCAGGCUUUCAGCGUCACACUGACCCAUCUUUGUUGGAAACGCUUACUGCAUCAGGAGUAUUAGCAACAUCUAAACUCAGCAAAGAUAAGAGACCACGUAAAAAAGCUACUCAUGUAAUACAUUUUUAUUAUUCUCAAAUUUACUUUACCUCACAUUCCCAUUGUCUGUCCACAACAAGCAUCUGAAAUGCACAUUUUAGGGAUAUUUUGUGUUACAUAUGACCAAGUAUUUUAUCAACAGAAGAAAGUAUCACACGAGUAAUGGAGAGGCUUGGGGAUUCACAAACAUCCCAUGCUAAGUUGCAUCAGCCGAUAUAAAAUUCUUGAGGGCAAGUUCUAUGUAAUGGAUAUUUGGAAAGAGACUAGAAAGUUUAUUAAGGGACUCACAAUUUUCAACGAAAUUCACAAAAUUGAUGUAAAAAAGAACUAAUAUCAAAUGAAAAUAUAUUAUUUAUAGGCUAUA